UUAAAAGAAAAUCAUGAGAUUUACGUGUUUACGUGUUAUGUUGCAAGUUGUGUUUAUGUCAUUACGCAUAUAUACACAUGAAAGUGUACACAUACACAAUGACAUAAACCUAAUUUGUAUCAUAACACGUAAACACAUAAACACAUGAAAAUUGUGUCAU
rnacentral:miRNA from 1 species